rnacentral:sRNA from 1 species
UUGACAACCCUGGAGACUGAAGCCCUCUAAUUAUUCACAGAAAAAGGUAGCACAGAUGGCACCAGUUCAAAAUUCCUUACACUGCUCCACUAAUGUGUCUCAACCUUGGUCUAGAGGUACCACCUCUUUGGUUGACAGGGCAAUUCAGUCUGCCUUCCAAUUUAGUUUUUGGUUUCU